CGAAUCCAAUUCGAAUCAGAUUCGAAUCCAAUUUGAAUCAGGAGCUAAGGUUUGCAACACCUGCUAGGAUGUUUAUCUUGCAAACAUGAUCUAAUCCAAUUAGACCCUUGAUAAGUUUCCUUGUGUGUUGAUAAGUGUUAAAUAAUGCAUAAAUUAACCUUUUAUUCAUAGCACUUAUCAUUAUUUUAAUUCACAUAUUUUGUAAAUUUAACUAAAAAAAUGUGUUACCCUCAUCAUUGCAUAAAUUAAUUCGAGUUUGAUUUAGUUAUUUAUUAAUUGAGCCUAAUGUAUGCAGGUC
rnacentral:lncRNA from 1 species